GUGAGGGUUUCAAUAAUGGCUUUGCACCCAUUGGUGAACGAUAGGUCUGACUUAACUAACCAAUGUGCUAAUAACUGUUAGAUGAGGCCACAGGACUUAGAGACCAAGCCCACUGCAUCUUACUUAGAGAAGCAAUGGAUAAAGUAUUAUCCACUCAUUAGUCUGUGCUCACCAAUAACUAUUAGGUGAGGUGUGUAUAGAUUAAUGAGACCAUAGUACCCACUUGAAAUCGAUCGC
rnacentral:lncRNA from 1 species